GACGAACGCUGGCGGCGUGCUUAACACAUGCAAGUCGAACGGAAAGGCCCUGCUUUUGUGGGGUGCUCGAGUGGCGAACGGGUGAGUAACACGUGAGUAACCUGCCCUUGACUUUGGGAUAACUUCAGGAAACUGGGGCUAAUACCGGAUAGGAGCUCCUGCUGCAUGGUGGGGGUUGGAAAGUUUCGGCGGUUGGGGAUGGACUCGCGGGUUAUCAGCUUGUUGGUGGGGUAGGGGCUUACCAAGGCUUUGACGGGUAGCCGGCCUGAGAGGGUGACCGGCCACAAUGGGACUGAGAUACGGCCCAGACUCCUACGGGAGGCAGCAGUGGGGAAUAUUACACAAUGGGCGGAAGCCUGAUGCAGCAACGCCGCGUGCGGAAUGACGGCCUUCGGGUUGUAAACCGCUUUCGCCUGUGACGAAGCGUGAGUGACGGUAAUGGGUAAAGAAGCACCGGCUAACUACGUG
rnacentral:rRNA from 1 species